rnacentral:rRNA from 1 species
AUUGAACGCUGGCGGCAAGCUUAACACAUGCAAGUCGAGCGGAGAUGAGGUGCUUGCACCUUAUCUUAGCGGCGGAUGGGUGAGUAAUGCUUAGGAAUCUGCCUAUUAGUGGGGGACAACAUUCCGAAAGGAAUGCUAAUACCGCAUACGCCCUACGGGGGAAAGCAGGGGAUCUUCGGACCUUGCGCUAAUAGAUGAGCCUAAGUCGGAUUAGCUAGUUGGUGGGGUAAAGGCCUACCAAGGCGACGAUCUGUAGCGGGUCUGAGAGGAUGAUCCGCCACACUGGGACUGAGACACGGCCCAGACUCCUACGGGAGGCAGCAGUGGGGAAUAUUGGACAAUGGGCGGAAGCCUGAUCCAGCCAUGCCGCGUGUGUGAAGAAGGCCUUUUGGUUGUAAAGCACUUUAAGCGAGGAGGAGGCUACCUGGAUUAAUACUCUAGGAUAGUGGACGUUACUCGCAGAAUAAGCACCGGCUAACUCUGUGCCAGCAGCCGCCGUAACAC